GACGAACGCUGGCGGCGUGCCUAAUACAUGCAAGUUGAGCGCUGAAGGUUGGUACUUGUACCAACUGGAUGAGCAGCGAACGGGUGAGUAACGCGUGGGUAAUCUGCCUUUGAGCGGGGGACAACAUUUGGAAACGAAUGCUAAUACCGCAUAAAAACUUUAAACACAAGUUUUAAGUUUGAAAGAUGCAAUUGCAUCACUCAAAGAUGAUCCCGCGUUGUAUUAGCUAGUUGGUGAGGUAAAGGCUCACCAAGGCGAUGAUACAUAGCCGGCCUGAGAGGGUGAUCGGCCACAUUGGGACUGAGACACGGCCCAAACUCCUACGGGAGGCAGCAGUAGGGAAUCUUCGGCAAUGGACGAAAGUCUGACCGAGCAACGCCGCGUGAGUGAAGAAGGUUUUCGGAUCGUAAAACUCUGUUGGUAGAGAAGAACGUUGGUGAGAGUGGAAAGCUCAUCAAGUGACGGUAACUACCCAGAAAGGGACGGCUAACUACGUG
rnacentral:rRNA from 1 species